rnacentral:lncRNA from 1 species
CAGACUCUCAUACUCUGUUCUAUAUUCUCUCUAUAUUACUCGCCGUCUUCUCCUUCGAUAAAUAAAUCGCCGCUUAGCGGCAAUUCAAUUUAUAAUACAAAAUGGCAGAAGACAAAGGGUUCCCCACUCUCCAGUCGAGGCAUAAUUAAUAAAUAAGGGGCCAGACGAGCAGAUCCCUCUGUGGCUCUGACUCUCUCUGGUUCUCUCUCUCUCUUUCUCUCUCUCUCUCUGUCCUGUUGCUUCAUCAGCGAUUCCAAUCAGAUAACAUUAGCACGUCACAUCACACAGCGUGCAAAAAUUAUUAUUCAUUGAAUUUGUGAUAAAUGUGACAGGCCCAACAGCACUCCGAGGGGUCGUCUCAACAAUGCCGACCAUAGACCAGACCAGUGAAGAACCCCAAACCAGACGGCCUGGCCCUGCCUUAGUGUGGUUGCAUCCUCCGCAGGUCCACAUCGAAGCUGUCAAAAAUUUGUUGCAAAAAGAUAUUAUCUGGGAUGGAUGGCAUGGACUGACGAUGGCUGCUCUUUCCUCUGUUGUUGUUUGUGUGCCCUGGCCUCAUCAAUGAUGCGGCGACGAGGAUGUGGCCUCAGCACAAUGUCGGUGCUCAGACUGGCCCCGGACUGUGGACUGUGAACAGGAUUUACUGAUGAUGAUGAUACCGCUGAUGACCAUGAUCGAUGAUUGACCUGUUUUUGUUUUGCUGUGUGCUGCUUGCCUGCCCAUCUUUAGAGUGACAAUUGCUGGACUUAACCACACCCAUCGACAAACAUGUGCAGCAGCAUCUGCAAAUAUUUGCAGAGAGAAUCAUCAGAGCAACAAAAGCAACAGAUGGGAGUACUACUUAAAUGGAAUUGGCACAUUGAUUGAUGUGCUCAAUAAAUUGCACAAGGAGCAUAGCCAUGGGCAUCGGGCAUCGUUGCACUCGGCACUGAAUGUGGCAAGUGAUAAGUCCAUGAGGCAAGGUGACAAUAAAAAAAAGGAGCUGCAAUGACUUCUGAAAAGUGGAACGAGUUAUGUUUGUUCUUGGAAAUUUAUUCUUGGAGUAUCAUUGUUCGAGUUGGAAAUUCUUUUAAUUGUUUCCAAGAGCGGCAAGAAACAAG